rnacentral:tRNA from 1 species
GCCGGGGUGGCUCAGCCUGGCUAGAGCGCCGGACUCAUAAUCCGGAAAUCGCGGGUUCGAAUCCCGCCCCCGGCA